rnacentral:rRNA from 1 species
UACGUAGGGUGCGAGCGUUGUCCGGAAUUAUUGGGCGUAAAGAGCUUGUAGGCGGUCUGUCGCGUCUGCUGUGAAAAUCCGGGGCUCAACCCCGGACUUGCAGUGGGUACGGGCAGACUAGAGUGUGGUAGGGGAGACUGGAAUUCCUGGUGUAGCGGUGAAAUGCGCAGAUAUCAGGAGGAACACCGAUGGCGAAGGCAGGUCUCUGGGCCACUACUGACGCUGAGGAGCGAAAGCAUGGGGAGCAAACAGG